UCUGUUCCUUCACUUGUAGCCUCAUUUUCUAGUUUCAAUAAACUCAAAUUCUUGCCAUUGUCUCAUGAGUUUAAUCACAACCAAAUAAUAUGAAGAUUCAUGUGCUUGGAUGAAUCACCAUCUACCAAGCAAGCAUAGAUUCAUGAUUCAUUUAGUAGAAUUUGAGACAAAAGUAAGUAGUGAAAAAAAAAAUCACUUAUAAGGA
rnacentral:lncRNA from 1 species